GUUGUCUGCUGUUGCUGGUGGUGCUCUCUCAUGCUUGGAGGUUCUAAUCCAGGUACAUGAUCCAACUGGGAUGAGUAAAGAAUUAUUUGCUUCAUUUCAUUAUUGUCACUCUUGUCAUGACUUGGUCUUUUGCUUACUCGAUGAUCUGUUUCCCUGUUAGACAAUGUGGUUUCUGCCUUGGGAAUUUGGCAAGCAUAAACUUGAAUAUUUCUUAAUUACUGCAAUGCUCGCAAUUGUAUUUUUGGAAUCUAUAUAGUUGUUAAGGUUUUGAUCGAUUGGCAUAUACUUGUUAAUCUCUAGAACUAUAGUGACAAGAUGCUUAGUCUUGGUCUCUUUUGUGUUGAUUUCAACUAAAUAAUUUUUGUGACAUAUGUAGUUUGGUCUCAGUCUGUUGUACUGUGCCAUGUUACCGAGUUCAUAAUUUUGUUGUUGCAUAACUAGCGGUUUCAUCACUGGUACAAUAGUUGUGUGAUCAAUAUUAUGCUACCGGUUUUGAUUCUGUAGUAGUGUUGGUUUCACUGUGGUCUAUAGCAGAACACCCAAAAGUGAGGUGCAUUUGUACAUUAGAUGGUCCCGUUUGAGUCCAUACUUUUCUCUACCAAGUAUAAGCGUUUCCAAAAUAUUAAAUGUGUUGUGCCUUUGAUGAAAUUGUCAGAAUGUAAUUUGAAUUAUCACUGUCUUGUUAUCACGUAAAAAAGGCAGCUCUGAAUAAUUCUUUACCAUGUUGUAUCGUAUUGUACUGCCGGUGUAUCUACUCAAAAUAAUAAUUUUAUCCUUAAUGAAGGAUGUUAUGGAACUAGGGCCCCCUGCCAAUAAGUUCUGAAUUGAUGUCAGGCAACGCCCUUAACCAAGGCUACUUAUGCCUAUUUGCUACUUUGCUGCUACUGUUGUAUUAAUCAUGUAGUGUCCGCUCUUCAUUAAGCUGGUGGCCUGCUUUAUUAAACUGAUAGAAACUUGGUGAGUCACUGAGCCCUGAAUGCUCACAACAGAACUAUCACAUUGUUUUCUUGAGACUGUUAAGAAACUGUUGGUUUUCCGAACAUCGGUGCAACCACAAUCAAAAGUUUAAUACAUUUUUUGUCAGUGAGUUGUUACAGGUUUAGGUUAAUUAAACCAAGUAUGCUUGGUUUUUGAGUGCUAGAAAGUUUUGUUUUUGUUCUGGCAACACAAUAAAUAACAACUCAUGAUUGACUGGGAGGUUGGUGCAAUGUUCAUCAUUGUGUUGCAAGUUGCGGCCUGUUAGUAAAUAGUAGCGCUUUUCUUGAUUGUCUCCCAAAUCCUUGGUCGUAUGUGGUGCAACCAAGCUGCUAAAAGUAGUGGCUGUGGAUGCACUGAAUUUCUUUUUGUUUUAUACCCUUAUUUUUUUCCUGUGGUGCAAUUGAUCUGCUAAAGCCUGAAAAUAUUAGCUGUAGGGACACAAGUUUUUUUAAUAUAAAAAAUGGAAGUCCGCAAGUGCUGACAUACUGCGAUUGCUGCAUGCAGGGACUGGCUCUCUGACGUUGCUCCUUGAGGAUGAUGCAGUUGAAACACUCUCUGGUGAGUUCCUGGUCCCCUCCCUCUCUCCCUUGUGCCUGAGAUUGUCCGGCCAUCGAGCCAUGACUGAUUGGUGCCGACCAUCGGGCCAAUGAUUGAGGGCCUGGUUAUGUGGUCAUGGUUCCUGUGGUUUUGUCCUUCGGCCACCGCAAUCUCGUGAUUGUGAUGAUCUUGUUGGCAUGCUUAUGUUACUUUCUAGGAAUUACUUUUGAUAAGAACUGGUGUUUGUUUAGCCUUUUUAUUUCCAGAUGAUGUUAGACCAGGUUUAAUUUCAUGAAGUGGCAUGGUAUAGUAACUAAUUGGCCAUGGUUAUGUGAUUGUUUGAGUUGUAAUUCAGUGAAUUUGCUUCUUGGCCAUGCCAGGAUUGACCUUUAGAGUUUAUAUUUCUCGCCGUGAUUCUUGUCUUGUUUCAUAGGUAUAAGGACAAAUAUUCUUUUACCAAGUGCUAGUGCUGUGCUUAGAGUUGAUGAUAAGAAUGUGGCAUGCUUCACCUAUUAUCAUGUGCCGUGUCGUGCUGUGUACAAUAACAAUAGUAAGGAUCGCUUGACUGAUGAGCUUGCUUUAUCAUAUUUGCAAGCAAUUUUUUGUAUAUGUGGCAGUUAAUAUGAUGGCAUGGGGAGUAGAGAGCAUUUUGUGGUUUGACAUUUAUUUGGCUAUGUGGUGGUCAUCCUGGAAUGGAAGUAAUAAUCUUUGUAUGUGAAUCCAUCACUUUCUACUGCAGCAAUGGAGGAUGAUAUGAAGCGCCAAGACCAACAACUUUUUUUUGUUCGGCAUUGCUGAGUACUGGAGUAGGCGUUUUGCAUCACCAACGAGGAAAUCUGUCGUGCUGGGGGUCUGGGUGGUGGCGGCCAGAGCGUGGGACUCCCCCAUGGAUUCGACGGGAUUCAAGUGUGCUUCGAACGUAUGGUAGAUCUUUUUUAUUUCAGAGGCAACCAUGGAUCAUGCAAAAUGCGUGCUCUUAAUUAGUUGGAUAAUCUUCUGUGGUUGCAUUUGCGUGUCGGUCUGUGGGAACAUAAUAGGUUGACAUUGUGUUUGUUANNNNNNNNNNNNNNNNNNNNNNNNNNNNNNNNNNNNNNNNNNNNNNNNNNNNNNNNNNNNNNNNNNNNNNNNNNNNNNNNNNNNNNNNNNNNNNNNNNNNNNNNNNNNNNNNNNNNNNNNNNNNNNNNNNNNNNNNNNNNNNNNNNNNNNNNNNNNNNNNNNNNNNNNNNNNNNNNNNNNNNNNNNNNNNNNNNNNNNNNNNNNNNNNNNNNNNNNNNNNNNNNNNNNNNNNNNNNNNNNNNNNNNNNNNNNNNNNNNNNNNNNNNNNNNNNNNNNNNNNNUACGUGAUAUUCAGUGCCUUCCACAAUUUGGUGUGUUAUGGCUCACCCAGAUGGGUUCCAAAAAAUGAAGUAUGCUUUGGAGUCAUUUGCCUGAAAGGCACGCAGACACAUCUACCUGUUUUCUUGGAUGAUUAAUUAGACUCUGGUGAUGUGAAAGCAUAUUCUGAUCUGUAGAACUUUGCAUGUCUAGUAGAUCGAUCAACAAUUCAGCAUAUGUAUUGACUUGAUACGUGUUGACUGUUCCUGUAGAUUCUAGUUUUCUGAUGUGCAAGUUUAUUUGGAUCCAUAGGACCUUUGCACGACUAAUUUUGUGAGUUUGGAUUUAUUAUUGUCAAGUUUCGUGGAAGUCUGUUAUUAAAUAGUAGGGCUUUUCUUGAUUUUCUUCCAUAUCCUUGUUCGCAUGUGGUGCAACCAAGCUGCUAAAAGUAGUGGCUGUAGAGGACCGGAGGCACUGAGUAUCUGUUUGUUUUAUACCCUUUUUUUGUUCUCCUAUGGUGCAACUGAUCUGCUAAAUCCUAACUAUUACCUUUAGGGACACUGAGUUUUUUAAUAUACAAAAAUGAAAGUUUACAUCCGCUGACAGAAUUCGAUUGUUGUAUGCAUGGACUGGCUCUCUGAAGUUGCUCCUUGAGGAUGAUGCACUUGAAAUGCUUCUCUGGUGAGUUCCUGGUCCCCUCCCUCUCUCCAUUGUGCCCUGAGAUUGUCCGGUCAUCUGGCUGAUUGAGGGCCCAGUUAUGUGGUCAUGUUUUCUGUGGUGGCUGUCCUCUGGCCACCGCAAUCUUGUGAUUGUGAUGAUCUUGUGGCAUGCUUAUGUUUCUUAGGUAUUACUUUUGAUAAGAACUGGUCUUGGUUUAGCUUGUUUAUUUUCAGAUGAUGUUACACUGGGUCUAAUUUCCUGAAGUGGCAUAUGGUAUAGUAACUAAUCGGUCAUGGUUAUGCGACUGUUUGAGUUGUAAUUCAGUGGAUAUGCUUCUUGGCCAUGCUAGAAUUGGCCUUUAGGGUUUAUAUUUCUUGCCUAGGGGAUUCUUGUCUUGUUUCAUAGGUAUGAUAAGCACAAAUAUUCUGUACUUGAUCUUUUACCAAGUGCUAGUGCCGGGCUUUGUGUUGAUGAUAAGAAUGUGGCAUGGAUUAAUUUUCUGUGGUAUUGUGUAUGAAUUCAAUUUAGAUCUGUGGGAUUUCAUUAACUUCUGAACUAAAGAUAGUUCUUACAAACGUUGCUUUUUUGCAGUCGAACACUGAAAUAGCCUAUGGUAUCACAUCGUUGUUGUCUGCUGUUGCUCUCUCAUGCUUGGAGGUUCUAAUCCAGGUACAUUAUCCAAUUGGGAUGAGUAAAGAAAUUGUUUGCUUCAUUUUGUUAUUGUCUCUGUUGUCAUGACUCGGUCUUUUUGCUUACUGGAUGCUCUGUUUCCCUGUUAGACAAUGUGGUUUGUGCUUUGGGAAUUUGGCAAACAUGCACUUGAAUAUUUCUUAAUUACUGCAAUGCCGGCUAUUGUAGUUUUGGAAUCUAUAUACUUAAUCUUGAUUGUUUCUUAAUCAUGUAGUGUCUGCCCUAAAUAGGCCCUAAGCAAUUCUACCAUCACCUGAAAGGUUGUUUCUGUUCUACCUAAGUUUUCACUAGUGGACUCGGUAGUACAAACCUGAAACCACUUUUAACUUUGGUUGAUUGGUGAAUGACAAAGUGUUAUGUCAUAAUUGCCCCCAUGGAAAUGGUGUAUUAAGACUGUUGAUAAACUGUCAUAUUGAAGAGCUGGUGGAAGCCAUUUGUGCCGCUUUAUAAAGUUGCGUCCUGUUAUUAAAUAGUAGGGCUUUUCUUGAUUGUCUUCCAUAUCCUUUUCCGUAUGUGGUGCAACCAAGCUGCUAAAAGUAGUGGUUGUGUAUGCACCGAGUUUCUUUUUGUUUUAUACCCUUAUUUGUUUUCCUGUGGUGCAAUUGAUCUGCUAAAGCCUAAAAAUAUUAGUUUUAGGGACACAAGUUUUUUUAAUAUAAAAACUGGAAGUCCACAAGUGCUGACAGAAUGCGAGGGUCUGGCUCUCUGAUGUUGCUCCUUGAGGAUGAUGCAAUUGAAACGCUCUCUGGUGAGUUCCUGGUCCCCUGCCUCUCUCCCUUGUGCCUGAGAUUGCCCGGCCAUCGAACCAUGUCUGAUUGGUGCCGACCAUUGGGCCAAUGAUUGAGGGCCUGGUUAUGUGGUCAUGGUUCCUACGGUGGUGUCCUUUGGCCACGGCAAUCUUGUGAUUGUGAUGAUCUUGUUAGCCUAUUUUUGUUACUUUCUAGGAAUUACUUUUGAUAAGAACUGGUGUUUGUUUAGCCUUAUUAUCUCCAGAUGAUGUUACACCAGGUUUAAUUUCAUGAAGUGGCAUGGUAUAGUAACUAACUGGCCAUGGUUAUGCGAUUGUUUGAGUUGUAAUUCAAUGAUUAUGCUUCUUGGCCAUGCUAGGAUUGACCUUUAGAGUUUAUAUUCUCGCUGUGAUUCUUGUCUUGUUUCAUAGGUAUAAGGACAAAUGUUCUUUUACCAUGUGCUAGUGCUUGUGCUUUGUGUUGAUGAUAAGAAUGUGGCAUGCUCGCCUAUUAUAUCAUGUGCCGUGCUGUGCUGUGCACAUUAACAAUAGUAAUAGGAUCGUUUGACUGAUGAGCUUGCUUUAUCAGAUUUGCAAGCAAUUUUUUUGUAUAUGUGGCAGUGUAACUCUGUUGUGAAAUAUGAUGGCAUGGGGAGUAGGGAGCAUUUUGUGGCUUGUCAUUUAUUUGGCUCUGGGGUGGUCAUCUUGGAAUGGAACUAAUAAUCUUUGUGCGUGAAUCCAUCACUUUCUACUGCAGCAAUGGAGGAUGAUAUGAAGCGCCAAGGCCAGCAACUUUUUGUUGUUUGGCAUUGAUGACUGCUGAGUACUGGAGUCGGCGUUUUGCAUCACCAACGGGGAAAUCUGCUGUGCUGGGGGUCUGGUUGGCGGCGGCCAGAGCGUGGGACCCUCCCAUGGAUUCGAGGGGAAGUGUGCUUCGAAGGUAUGAUAGAUCUUUUUUAUAUCAGAGGCAACCAUGGAUCAUGCAAAAUGCAUACUCUUAGUUUGUUGGAUAAUCUUCUGUGGUUGCAUUUGUGUGACGGUUUGUGGGAAGUCAAAACGAGCAUAAGAGCUUGACAUUGUGUUUGUUAUACCCGCGCCGGGGGGGGGGUGAAAAUCUGUUGAGAUGGAAGAUAUUUGCCUCAUGCUUGCGAUCUGGUACGUGAUAUUCAGUGCCUGCCACAAUUUGGUGUGUUAUGUCUCACCCAGAUGGGUUCCAAAAAGUUAAGUAUGCUUUGGAGUCGUUUGCCUGAAAGGCACGCAUACACAUGUGUUUUCUGGAUGAUCAGUGAGACUCUCUGGUGAUGUGAAAGCAUAUUCUGAUCUGUAGAACUUUGCAUGACUAGUAGAUCGAUCAACAAUUCAGCAUAUAUAUUGACUUGAUACGUGUUGAUUGUUCGUGUAGUUUUGUGAUGUGCAAGUUUAGUUGGAUCCAUAGGACCUUUGCACGACUAAUUUUGUAAGUUUGGAUUUAUCAUUGUCAAGUUUUGUGGAAGUCUGGAGUCUAAGUGAAUAUUGAUGCGUACAUGUUCCAGUGUUUAGCUAUAAAUCAUGUGUAUGUGUAGGGCAGAAGUGAAACUAAUAAGAUUUUUUUUUUCUAUAUAUGCCAGUGUAACUAUGUUGUGAAAUAAGAAGAGAAUUUUUUGUAAGAGUAGGGACCAUUCUGUGGUUUGCCAUUUAUUUUGGCUGUGUGGUGGGCAUCAUGGACUACUAGAAACAGACUAAUAAUCUUUGAGCGCGGAUCCAUCAAGGAUCCUACUGACUGACCUUGUACUAUGUCACGUUUCUGCUGCAGCAAUGGAGGAUCCUAUGAAGCACCAAGACGCAGCAACUUUUUGUUGGUUGGCAUCGCUGAGCACUGGAGUCGGCGUUUUGCAGUUUCUUUUCUACUGUCAGUAGUUCAUGGGAGUUUUUCUAUUCAACUUAUCUGUUAGUAAGGGAGUCUUCAUGUAGUGUUGGGUUUGGUAGUAGCUUAUCUAGUUUUUUUUAGGUAUAGCCAUUUGGACAUGCCUAAAAAUUUGUUACAUUGUUUACAGUGAACUUUAAUAAUGUUGGUUGAAAGAAUCCUUCAUUCAUGAGUGAAUGUCUGCUCUUUUUUUU
rnacentral:lncRNA from 1 species